GCAGACAUAUCCCUACAGUCCAUAACUUUUCAGUGCUCUAGUAGACAUCAGCCAUCUCUAUACGUCACCAAAUAAGCUGCGCUGGACGUUUGAUGAAUUAUGCCACAAGCGACCUUCGGUAGUGGUAUGGCUUUUUGCUUUGGCAUUUGAGAUGGGCAGAGGUGGCUCCUGGCACCGAAUACAUGGGUUGUUUGAGAGGGCAUUGCCAAAUGACAGUUUGCGGACAUCUGUAUUAUUGUGGUGCUCCUACAUUGCAUAUGAGAUUGAUAUAGUACAAAACCCUUCUGCAGCUAGGCGUAUUUUCUUUUGAGCCAUUCACGCCUGUCCAUGGUCCAAAAAGUUGUGGUUGAAUGGUUUUCUCAAACUAAAUUCCGUCCUAAGUGCCAAAGAGCUAUCUGAUCUGCAAGAAGUGAUGAGGGAUAAAGAAUUAAAUCUACGGACUUAUAUUUAUGAGAUCCUUUUGCAAGAUGAUAUCGUAUCAUGACGUCAUACGUGCUUCAUAAGCUGGGGUCAUGUGGCAUCUCUCAGUGUUCUUUCUUGUGAAUUUGGCAGAUGAAUAAUGACUUGACGGAAGGAAGAACAUGAAGACAAGGCGGACAAAAGAAGGGCGGGAAAGAAGUGAAUGUCCGAGGGCAGCGAGUGUGCACGUUUUGUUGCAGAGGAUAUUCCGGUGACGCCAGUUGUUAUUCGAAAGAGUAUAUGCACUUCAUGAACGUUACUCUUCCAUUUUCAGGACAAAUGCUUGUGCGGUAAUUACAUGUAUAGAGUGUUUGACAGUUGCCGCUGCAAGUUGUCAGCACAUGCGACUACAUUGUUAUGGAAACUGUUUUUUGUUGACACCGCAUCAAAUGACGAUGUUUUUUUUGUCCAAGAGACUGAGCAUCUGGUUGUGGACUAAGUGCGGCCAAGUUCUGCGCAGCAUUUCGAUUGAUAUCAAACCAUGCAGGUGGUGCUUGA